AUACGGAGGGGGUUAGCGUUGUUCGGAAUUACUGGGCGUAAAGCGCACGUAGGCGGAUUGGAAAGUUGGGGGUGAAAUCCCAGGGCUCAACCCUGGAACUGCCUCCAAAACUAACAGUCUAGAGUUCGAGAGAGGUGAGUGGAAUUCCAAGUGUAGAGGUCAAAUUCGUAGAUAUUUGGAGGAACACCAGUGGCGAAGGCGGCUCACUGGCUCGAUACUGACGCUGAGGUGCGAAAGCGUGGGGAGCAAACAGGAUUAGAAACCCUUGUAGUCC
rnacentral:rRNA from 1 species